AUUGAACGCUGGCGGCAUGCUUUACACAUGCAAGUCGAACGGUAACAGGCCUUCGGGUGCUGACGAGUGGCGAACGGGUGAGUAAUGCAUCGGAACGUACCCAGAGGUGGGGGAUAACGCAGCGAAAGCUGUGCUAAUACCGCAUGUGAUCUGAGGAUGAAAGCGGGGGACCGCGCAGCAAUGUUUGGCCUCGCGCCUUUGGAGCGGCCGAUGUCGGAUUAGCUAGUUGGUGGGGUAAAGGCCUACCAAGGCGACGAUCCGUAGCUGGUCUGAGAGGACGAUCAGCCACACUGGGACUGAGACACGGCCCAGACUCCUACGGGAGGCAGCAGUGGGGAAUUUUGGACAAUGGGCGCAAGCCUGAUCCAGCAAUGCCGCGUGCGGGAAGAAGGCCUUCGGGUUGUAAAGCGCUUUUGGCAGGAACGAAACGGUGUCCGCUAAUACCGGGCGCUAAUGACGGUACCUGCAGAAUAAGCACCGGCUAACUACGUG
rnacentral:rRNA from 1 species